UACGAAGGGGGCUAGCGUUACUCGGAUUGACUGGGCGUAAAGGGCGCGUAGGCGGCUUGUACAGUCAGACGUGAAAUUCCUGGGCUCAACCUGGGGGCUGCGUUUGAUACGUGCGGGCUUGAGUUCGGAAGAGGUCGUGGAAUUCCCAGUGUAGAGGUGAAAUUCGUAGAUAUUGGGAAGAACACCAGUGGCGAAGGCGGCUCACUGACCCGGUACUGACGCUGAGGCGCGAAAGCGUGGGGAGCAAACAGG
rnacentral:rRNA from 1 species